GAUGAACGCUGGCGGCGUGCCUAAUACAUGCAAGUCGAGCGAACAGACGAGGAGCUUGCUCCUCUGACGUUAGCGGCGGACGGGUGAGUAACACGUGGAUAACCCACCUAUAAGACUGGGAUAACUUCGGGAAACCGGUGCUAAUACCGGAUAAUAUAUUCAACCGCAUGGUUCAAUAGUGAAAGACGGUUUUGCUGGAACUUAUAGAUGGAUCCGCGCCGCUUUAGCUAGUUGGUAAGGUAACGGCUUACCAAGGCAACGAUGCGUAGCCGACCUGAGAGGGGGAUCGGCCACACUGGAGCUGAGACACGGUCCAGAGUCCUACGGGAGGCAGCAGUAGGGAAUCGUCCGCAAUGGGCGGAAGCCUGACGGAGCAGCGCCGCGUGAGUGAUGAAGGUCUUCGGAUCGUAAAACUGUGUUAUGAGGGAAGAACAAAUGUGUAAGUAACUAUGCACGUCUUGACGGUACCUGAUCAGGAAGCCACGGCUAACUACGUG
rnacentral:rRNA from 1 species